rnacentral:rRNA from 1 species
UACAGAGGGUGCAAGCGUUAAUCGGAUUUACUGGGCGUAAAGCGUGCGUAGGCGGUUCAUUAAGUCGGUUGUGAAAUCCCUGGGCUUAACCUGGGAACUGCAGUCGAUACUGGUGGACUAGAGUACGGUAGAGGGUGGCGGAACUCCGGGUGUAGCGGUGAAAUGCGUAGAUAUCCGGAAGAACACCGAUGGCGAAGGCAACCACCUGGGCCUGUACUGACGCUGAGGUACGAAAGCGUGGGGAGCAAACAGGG